rnacentral:ncRNA from 2 species
AUAAUGAUACUUCCGUCCAGUCACAGCCCCGAAAAAUCGGGAUCACGCAAUGAGGGCGGCUCUGGGAGAUCCCCGGAGGGGUGAGAUACCCAUGA